AAAAAUAUAUCCCUAUUCAUGGAUUGAAUUAACAAUUCCAGAGGGUUCAGAUAGUAGCCAGUCCGAUUAUAUAAUUUGUUCUCAUUCUGAGAGGUGUAGUAGCAAUCAACAUCAUUACCCAUAAACCAACAUAACCAUUUAGCACA